rnacentral:tRNA from 1 species
AUUUAAAUAGCUUAAUUUAGAGCAUAAUAUUGAAGAUAUUAGGGUGAUUAAUUAAAUCUUUAAAUA